UUUGAUGGGUCCACUACAGUCCAGGAGUUUCUGUUGACCCUAAGUAAGGCCAUCAGUGUAAGGGACGUAUGCCAGUCAGGGUUCUCCCUGUGUACCGACGACCCUUGUAGCUCCGACAUAGAACACUGUCUCCAAUCCUCCAUUAAGAUCUGUGAUGUUAUAUCAAAAUGGGAACAAAGCCAUAGAGAAUAUCUCUCAGGGAAACAAGACAAUGGGCGAACCAUUCGACUUCUCUACAAAAACAGGUUGUACUUUAAGUCAUCCAGUUCUGCAGAGACGGAAAAGGAGAAGCUACUUCUAACUUAUCAGGUGAAUGAUGAGAUUAUCAACGGCCGAUUUCCUCUCAACAAAGACCUAGCCUUGGAGCUUGCUUCUCUUAUGGCUC